CUCAGCACGUUGUUUACAUUUUUUCACGCGAAAGCUUCGAGGUUACAGUCUCAGGGGGGAGCACGCACGCAAGAGCGAAACUCAAAGAAAUCGACGGAAUGGCACCACAACACGUGGAGCGUGCGGUCAUAUUCGACUCAACACGGGGAACUUUACCAGAUCCGGACAGGGCGAGGAUCGACAGAUCGAGUGUUCUUUCUCGAUCCCCCGAAUGGUGGUGCAUGGCCGCUUUUGGUCGGUGGAGCGAUUUGUUUGGUCGAUUCCGUCAACGGACGAGAUCCAAGCUGCCCAGCAGGGCCCGCGAUUGUCCACACAGGACAGCCUACCGUCGUGGGCACGGUGUGCUCCUU
rnacentral:rRNA from 1 species